rnacentral:piRNA from 1 species
UCACUGGACUGGCAGAUGGUCUUC